GAUCCCAUAACUUCACCAGGGAGGAAAACUCCCAGCUCCUGGGCCUGGAGACCAGCCAGCCCAUCAGCUCUUCAUCAAAGCAAUUAUCUCUUUUCACUCAAAGAGGAGAUGAGAGGGAAUGGGACCACUUGUAAGCCAGACAACCUCAUGAGUGUGGCACAUGGUAAAACACAAACCUGCUGACAGAGGCUGAGAGAACCAGGAGCCCUGUGCUAUGGGGUGCUGAGUGCCCCCCUCUGUCCCCAAAACGCUUAACACUUCUCGCGUAGUCACUGGCAAAACCCAUCUGGCAAGCAUCUGCCUGCUGGCUAGAGAAGUGCUUCAGCUGGUUUCAUUAAAUUCUAGCCUUAAACAAUGUGAGCUCCAAAGCAAAAUGUUGCUGUUAGCCUUGGAAACUGCAUCUGUCCUGAAACUGCCAGAGGUCUCACUUUUUGUAGUGAGCAAUCUUAUUUUCUUAAUAAAUGAGGACUGUCAUUUCCCCCCGCCUUUUUUAGCUCCCAGAGCUGGCUGUGCACAUUCUUGACUACGCGAAGAGUCUGAGGUUCUCUGCCAAUCCCAGGAAAGCAGGAGAACAUGGAUGUCUUCUUCAGAAGAGUUGUGGGCAAAAUGGAGACUUCCACCUCUGGGUUUUUCAGGAUCCUUCCUCGUUCAUGGACCGCAGGGACAUGAUGUUCCCGCAGCGAUAGUGACUGUGAUUUCCUUUGCUUGGUUUCCCUGUCUGUAUCCCAGGACAAUGUUGGCUUCUACCACAAUCUCUAGAUCGCCUGCAGGCUUUGCCAGUGGUGUUUCUUCCAGCUCAUUCAUAGAAAUAUGAAAUAAAUAAACCUCCUGUCACGCUUUGCA
rnacentral:lncRNA from 1 species